rnacentral:rRNA from 1 species
CCUACGGGAGGCAGCAGUGAGGAAUAUUGGUCAAUGGACGGAAGUCUGAACCAGCCAUGCCGCGUGCAGGAAGACGGCCCUCUGAGUUGUAAACUGCUUUUGUACAAGGGUAAACCUGAAUACGUGUAUUCAGCUGAAAGUACUGUACGAAUAAGGAUCGGAGAACUCCGUGCCAGCAGCCGCGGUAAUACGGAGGAUCGGAGCGUUAUCCGGAUUUAUUGGGUUUAAGGGGUUCGUAGGCUGAUUGAUAAGUUAGAGGUGAAAUGGCCGAGCUUAACUUGGGAACUGCCUCUAAUACUGUUGAUCUAGAGGGUGGAUGCGGUAGGCGGAAUUUAUGGUGUAGCGGUGAAAUGCUUAGAGAUCAUACAGAACACCGAUUGCGAAGGCAGCUUACCAAUCUAUAUCUGACGUUGAGGCACGAAAGCGUGGGGAGCAAACAGGAUUAGAUACCCGAGUAGUC